AUUGAACGCUGGCGGAAUGCUUUACACAUGCAAGCCGAACGGCAGCACGGACUUCGGUCUGGUGGCGAGUGGCGAACGGGUGAGUAAUGUAUCGGAACGUGCCCAGUCGUGGGGGAUAACGUAGUGAAAAUUACGCUAGUACCGCAUACGAUCUAUGGAUGAAAGCGGGGGAUCGCAAGACCUCGCGCGAUUGGCGCGGCCGAUAUCAGAUUAGGUAGUUGGUGGGGUAAAGGCCCACCAAGCCAACGAUCUGUAGCUGGUCUGAGAGGACGACCAGCCACACUGGAACCGAGACACGGUCCAGACUCCUACGGGAGGCAGCAGUGGGGAAUUUUGGACAAUGGGCGAAAGCCUGAUCCAGCCAUUCCGCGUGCAGGAUGAAGGCCCUCGGGUUGUAAACUGCUUUUGUACAGAACGAAAAGGUUUCUACUAAUACUAGGAGCUCAUGACGGUACUGUAAGAAUAAGCACCGGCUAACUACGUGCCAGCCGCCGCCGUAA
rnacentral:rRNA from 1 species